rnacentral:snoRNA from 1 species
AUGAUAAAAAUUUUACGUUUACCUAGCUGAUUGGAGCUGUUGCUCUGUUCUAGAGAAACUUUUCCAUUAUUUAAGAUGACUCCCGAUACGAGGCAUUUGUCUGAACUAAUU